UGCUACAGCCAUGCCACCCUGAACAAGCCUGAUCCCAUCUGAUCUUGGAAGCUAAGCAGGGUCGGACCUGUUUAGAACUUGGAUGGGAGACCAACUAGGAAUACCAAGUGCUGUAGGCA
rnacentral:rRNA from 1 species